UCUCAAAAAAUUGAUUUUACUGUCCAUAAACGUAUUCAUACUGGGGAAAAAACCAUAUCAUUGUGAUAUCUGUGGCAAAUCAUUCUCCCAAAGUAGUGACUUGCCUAAACACAAACGUAGUCAUACAGGUGAAAAACCAUAUCAUUGUGAUAUUUGUGGUAAAUCAUUCUCUUACAAAAUGGUGACUUGACUAAAGACAAAGCUACACAUACAGGAGAGAAGCCAUAUCAUUGUAAUAUCUGUGGUGAGUCCUUCUUUGAAAAACGGCCUCUUAAGUACACGUGUGAGUAUUCAUCCACAAGUGUAACCGUAUCAGUAUUAUAAUUUAUUAAAACAUGACAACAAUUAUGAAUAUUUUGUCUGCUAAAAGACAGGGUUCAUUCCUCUUCAAGCUU